rnacentral:rRNA from 1 species
CGAAAGCCUGACGGAGCAAUACCGCGUGAGGGAGGAAGGCUCUUGGGUUGUAAACCUCUUUUAUCAGGGAAGAACCAAAUGACGGUACCUGAAGAAUCAGCAUCGGCUAACUCCGUGCCAGCAGCCGCGGUAAUACGGAGGAUGCAAGCGUUAUCCGGAAUUAUUGGGCGUAAAGCGUCCGCAGGUGGCUCAUCAAGUCUGCUGUCAAAGGCAGGGGCUUAACCCCUGAAAGGCAGUGGAAACUGGAGAGCUAGAGUGCAGUAGGGGUAGAGGGAAUUCCCGGUGUAGCGGUGAAAUGCGUAGAGAUCGGGAAGAACAUCGGUGGCGAAAGCGCUCUGCUGGACUGCAACUGACACUAAAGGACGAAAGCUAGGGGAGCG